GGUCACCGAGCUGCCCUCUCCCCCUCGGAGGUGUUACCGCGUAAAGGGCCCCUUGCCUGCCACAGCAUCUCUGAGCUUCAGUGCCUAAAGGGAGCUUAAAGUUGGGGCCGGACUUUUUUUCCCAGACGAGGGGUAAUGAUUUUAAACCACUUUGACAGAUUCUGCCGAGAUAUUAGGAAGAAAUGUUUUGUGCUGACAGUGGUCAACCACUGGGCAGAGGUUGCCCAGAGAAGUGGUGGAUGCCCCAUCCCUGGGAGCAUUCACAGACAGGCUGGACAAGGCUCGGAGCAAACUGAUCUAUUUGAAGAUGUCACUGCUCUUUGCAAGGGGUUUGGACUUGAUGGCCUUUAAAGGUCCCUUCCAAUCCAAACCAUUCUGUGUUUGGAAGUGCCCCGUUUCAGACAGAAGCAGGUUCCUCCCAGUGAACAGCAGUUUGUAUCCUGCUUGUUAAAUAUCUGGGAACUUUGCAAGGGAAAACUGAGCAGAAACCACCGUGACAUAGUCGGGAGUAGAUGUUUGCCCAGUGACUAAAUUCCUUACUAAUGUCAGACAGCUCAUCUCCCAGUAAUCCCAUGCAGUUGCUUUGGAGCAUUUGUUUCUUUGGCAAUAUCAUUACAAAACCCCAGCAGAUUUAUACUAGCCCACAGCAGCACCUGGCUAUUAUAGCAAUGUAUGGGAAUGGGAAUGUACACAAGAAUAUUCAUGUUGAAAGAAGGAGAGAAGUCCUAAUGAGAUCGGAAAUUCCCAGCCUGUUACAGAUUUGAGGCUGGCUUUGGAGACGGCUCUGCUCUUGCUGAUUUCAGCUGGCAGUCAGAACACUCGGCUCUCCAGGGAGAUCUUUACACCUCUUUUAUAAAUAAAUCUAUUUUUCAGUGAUCUUCUGCAUAGUAUGGCUUUUCUACUCAUCUUAACAAAGAAUAUGCAAUUUAAAGAAAAUCUAUCUAGAAAAACACAACAGCCUUUAGAGAAGGAUAGUGCUAAUAAGAAAGUAAUUAAGUGGUUACAUGACUGCAGAGAAAUGAAUAAACAGGAGUUUUACAUUCACAUGAGCAGGAAUAAAGAGAUUCUGAGGGGCUCAAAUCAGAUCUGAUGCCUUCAUUAAUUUAAGGAAAUAGGGAGGUCUGGAGUUUUUAUUUUCUUCCACUGGAGAACAAGGAAAGUAUUUAAUUUAUGUUAAAUGUCCUAUCAGACUUCCCAUCUUCAUAAAGUUCAGUAUUUCCCCACUAAAAGUAAUUCUUAUCUCAGCUUUAUAUUACCCUUAAGUUCUUCUUCUCUCUUUUUUCUCCCCAAUAUCUAAACAUGGAAAAAGCUUAGACUUCCUAAGAAGUUAGACUUCCUAAAAUGGUUGUGUGUUUAUGUCCGUUACAAACCUUAACACUACUCUGUCAUUUGUAAUUCUGAUGCAGGAACACAGAACCAGAAACCGCCCACUGUCUGGCUGCUCUUAUGUUGUCCUCAGUCUUCCCAGUGGUUUGCCAGAAUUUCCAAACAGGAACAUCACCAUCUAAUCCCUUUGUAAGCUCUAUGAACAUUUGCUGGCCAGGCUAACAUCAUCUCGCAUGGGGUGCCUGUCAUGCAAGACAGUUUUCCACAAACUUCUUCAUCAUGAGUCCCUCCCAUCAGGUUCUUCUUUUCCUCUUCUUAUACAUGUUAUCCCAGAGGUGCUACCACUGUCACUGAAGGACUCAGCCUUGGCCAGUGCUGGGUCUGUGUUGGAACUGGCUGGCAUUGGCUUCAAGCAACUUCUCAGAGAAGCUAUCCCUGCUACCAAAUCCUUGCCACACAAAUCCAACACCUCUACCCCAAAACACCCUGAUCCUCAGAGUACAGUUCAAAUGGAGGUGCAUCAUCCUAUGUGAUGCUACCCGAGCACCUAGGAGGUAGGACAGCAUGCUCUGAAGGUGAAUGCUGUUAGAUAGGCACCCUGCUAAAAUCAGACUUUUCCCCUCUGCAAAAAGUGAGGGCCGUAGGUGAAGAACUGUCACUCUAAUGACAAGACUUGAUCUCCCAAGUAUAAAAGUAACUUAAUCUGCUUUGCUAUUGCUUCACCUUUGUUUUGAAGAUGAAGAAAGAAGAAAAAUUUGAAGAGUAAGAGACACUUCUCCUUUCAUGUACCUUUUAACGAAACUUUCCCCUGACAUAAUUAUCAACUUUUACUUCAGUGUAUUUUUUUGAGAAGGUAAACACUCCUGUGAACCUGUCAAUUCAUCCACAUGUCUAUUUUGGCUAUUGCAACUGAUAAACAAUUCCCUAAGUCUGUCUUUUUAUUGAAGACAAAUAAUUUCUUUGUAAUUGUUCCAUCUUGAUUUUUUGUUUGUUUGUUUGUUUGUUUUGUUGCCUAAAACAUUUCUGGUUUUUCUCUCUUUUUGGUUCUGCCUCUAUAUUGGCAGUGAUGGGAAGAUCUUGAUUUUUAGUCCUAAUGUAGGAUAAAUGUGAAAGCGUUGUAAGCAAACCUAUCCUCUAAGGCUGGAGGCAAGCAAGAGAAGCACGUAUCAUUUUACAUUCUUCCUCCCUGCUCUAGAGUCAUUUCCCAGAAAAGAACAGGAAUCAGCUGGGUCAGAUUUGGGGGCCAGAGUUACUGGAUCAGCUUGACGUGUUGUGCAAGUGGAUUGAAGCUCCCACGGGUUGAAAAAUAAUUGCAUCUGCAGUUAGCGUGCGCCCACACACAAUGAAAGCUCCAUCAAGAAUGUCUAAUUUGGCUUUCACCUCUCAUUAGCUUAAUGCAAAAUGCCCUGGUCCAGCUGGAAACGGUGUAAAAAUAAUACAGUUUAAUCCUUGUUAACAUUAUUUGCUGUUUUUAUGGUAUUCUUCUUCUGCAAGUGUUGAAGGGUGUUGUAGCAGCCAUUUCACGUGUGCCAUAUACUGCAUUUCACUGGUGAGCUUUGCUGACUGGCUCACCACAGUGAUGUCAACACACUUCUGGGAUUAAUCAUCAUGGACAUGUGAAUUUAACAAGGGAGUCCAGGGAAGAGGAAAAAAUGGGAUAAAAUAAGAAAAAAACAUGUAUAUGCUGGUUAAUCAAAAACAUUCCUGUCCUUUGUUUAUAGGAAAUACACCUUUCCUUUGAGUAUGGAAUCAUAUCAUUUGCCUUGAAAUGCCCUAUAAAUUACACAAAACAAGUUGCAAGAAAAUACUGAAAAGCUAUAAAGAGAAGCACAUGAAUUCUGAACUAUACUGCUUUUGAGGAGCAAACCUCCCACUUCAGCUUCCUUCCCACUUCCAGUGUGUGCAACAGCUAAAUAAACACCUCAAAGACUGAGACAGUGUUGUCCCUACCAAUUGUUGUCAGUAAGAGAUUCCACUCCAUACUUGUUUCACCAAGAAAGAAAUCAUUAAAGUAAUAAUCAUAAAGCAAUUAUUAUAAAGGCACACGGGCAUAGACUCUUAUGGUCAACCUGGGGAAAAUUCUGCUGAGAAAAUAUUCAAUCACCUCACACUGAGAGAAAAAAAGAGGUAUUUUUUGUCUCUUUUGUGAGAGAAUGUUCACUUGAGUAAUUUUUAGGAUGGUACUUUCUACUGUGCUCUGGCUCUCAGCCCCAGAACAAGCUUGGUGAAUCCUGAGCUGACGGGACGUGUAUUCAGUGCAGAUGUCCAUGAGGCAGGUGGAAGAGGAGCCAAUGCAGACUCAAAGAGAGCAAUCAAGAUGCAGUUCAUCGUGCUUGAAACACAGCUGCUGUAUGAGAUAGUAUUUGCUUUCACUGGGUAAACCAAAGCAGCUUUCAGCCAGCUGUACUGGCUGAAAUUCUCAUCCAGCUGCCCAAAGAGUACCCCAUGCUGGUGAGAAUUAGGGCACUCACAGAGUGUUCCAGCUGAAUUUGCAAGUAUUUCAUCUCCUCUGUUAAGAUCAGGUCAAGCAGAUGAUUUAUGACCUUACACCAUGGUUGUGACUAAAGACCUAACUUAACAUGGAGAGCUUGAGCCUGGUCACUGUGCCAGCUCUGAGACUGAGCCUUGCUCCACAGAGCUUGGAAAUGCAUGAACCAAAGGUGAGACAAGCCCGUAAUGGAGAAGAGGAUGUGUCAGAGGGAGCAGAACCCGGGCUGCUGGUGCCUGUACACACUGGACAGGGCAGGAACAUCCAGCUGCAGCAAUACAGCACAUCUGUCUCAGCACUUGUAGGAUGCAGCUUCUCUCUGUUGUGCAUGCCAGCUGUGUGGAGAAGAAGGAGUUGAAGGCUCAUGACUUUCUCAACAAAUAUGGAAGGAAGGAGAUGGGAUUUUUACUGCCUGCCAGGCAUACAGCUCCACAUGGUCUUUUACGUAUUUGUGAAAAUGUGAGCCAUAUGAGCACAUUUCAUUCCCUUGAUAACUUCUUAAAGCAGUUCUCCUGCCAAAGCAUUUCUUCUGCUGAAGUGGUUCCACAGGCUAAGUCUGCCCCUGCACCCCUGACCAGGUCUGGUGAGUCACUUCUUGGGGGAAGCAAGUGACUCAGGAGGAGCAAGGGAGAGCAACAAACAUAAAGGCCAAAGUGCAUUAGAGUCAGGACCCUUCUGAUUAAUGUAGCUAUGUACUCAGAUAAUUAUGUUAUCAGCAUGAUCGGUGUUGUACUGACACUGGAUCUAGUCCACUCAACCCUCUGGACAUAGGAUUAAGUCCAUCUCUGCAGGAUAAAAUGGAAUUUUCCACAAUGAAACAGAAUUAUUUGCAUUGCUAUCCAUAUAGGAUCAGAAGAAGUUCCCUGAGUUGGAGGUGUGUUUGGGAGCUAUUCUAUUACAGUGUUUAUCAAGGAUACACAUGAAGCUAAAUGAGCAAUAUAACUCUUCAUGAUCUGUCAUAAUACAUAAAAUAUUGAUCAUUAAUUUUAAAAAAUGUGUCCAGCUAUAAUAAUGAUCCGUGGAACAUUUUGGACUCAACAAAUCAAGUCUAUAGACUGAAAUUAUGCAGCACUUAAUUUUGGUCAAAAGCUUAAUUAUUUCCAAGUUAUUCAUGGUGGUUAGAUGAAUUGUAGGAAACAUAGUGCUUACAGCACUUGAAUGCUGAUUCUGAUUAGUUUUUGAAUAGGAGUGGUAUUCAGCGAUGCUUAAAUGCAGGGCUUUGAGCCAAGGCUUGUUACCUGAAAAUACAUGCACGAAGCACCUCAAUGGCUUAUAGAAAUUUUCUCUUGCCAAAACAUUUAAAGUGUUCUUGUUGAUAUCUCCGAAUUGACUUGGCAGGUCUGCACAGGGAGUGCAGAAACAUUUGUUACUGCUUAUUCAAUGAUUUUAUGCCACAAAACAAACAGCCCCGGAGCUGAGUGGUUACUCUCCCGUUGAUUAGUUACCAUGGGGCUUUUUCCUCAUCAUAGCCUUGAUGUGAAAAUGAUGAGACAAUCAGACUUCUGCAAAGAUUGCAACUCGUAUACAUGAAAGGUCUUAUCCUGUCAUCUUUUGCCCUUUGCCUGAGACGUCACAAGCGGGGCUGGAUGGAGCGGCAGAGCGGAGAGGGAUGCGAAAAGCUGUGCCCUGAGCCAGGGGGAGGUGGGGCACAGGCUGUGAGCCAGUUCUGCCCCUGGCCACACUUCUCAUGCAAUAAGGCUCGCUCAUUCACGUAAAGAAGAGGAGCGGGAUUUAUCCCCGAGCGUGCUUCAAUAAACA